rnacentral:other from 1 species
UGUCCCCUGCGGGGCGCGUGAUGCCCAGCAGAAAUUCGAACCGAUACGUCCAUCACGGGGUCCGUUUCGGGUUCCAUGCGCAAGCCCUCCCCCUCGCGGGGCAGAGGGAAGCCUACGGAGCCAUGACUUUGGUCCCCACCUGGCUUUUAUAGGGUUCAAUGGACGCUAGGCACACGGCCAUACGGCGGGGGACUU